ACAAUCUGCCCUUCAGUCCGGGACAACUUUCCGAAAGGGGAGCUAAUACCGGAUAACAAUGUUUGACAUAAGUUGAAUAUUUGAAAGCUCCGGUGCUGAUGGAUGAGUCUGCGUCCCAUUAGCUUGUUGGUGCGGUAGUGGCGCACCAAGGCCGCGAUGGGUAGCGGGUUUGAGAGGACGAUCCGCCACACUGGAACUGAGACACGGUCCAGACUCCUACGGGAGGCAGCAGUGGGGAAUAUUGCACAAUGGAGGAAACUCUGAUGCAGCAAUGCCGCGUGAGUGAAGAAGGCCCUUGGGUCGUAAAGCUCUUUUAUGGGGGAAGAUGAUGACGGUACCCCAAGAAUAAGCACCGGCUAACUACGUGCCAGCAGCCGCGGUAAUAC
rnacentral:rRNA from 1 species